GACGUGUGUCUGCUCCCGACAGGACGGCAGGCUGCAGGGACUCGUCUUCCACGAGGGACACUCGGCUUCAUCACGCAGCGACGCCUGGAAAACUUUACCGGCUGUUUGCGUGCGUCCUGAGGAGCCGCCAGACUCGAGGUCUUGUAACAGAGGGACUGUCUGGAUCUGCUCUGGUCCUGAGAGAACUGCAUCUGUUUAUAUUCCACAUCCCUGCGGAGAUACACGGCAUUAGUGAACAUGGGUUUUCAUGAAAGCCAUGAUUGUUUUACGGUCUUUGGCGUGGGGCAGCUGGAGGUCCCUUCAUGACCAUGAGUCUGCGCUGAAGGAGGUGAAGGAGGUGAUGGAGGUGAAGGAGGGGAUGGAGGUGAGGGAGGUGAUGGAGACUCACGU